UACAGAGGGGGCAAGCGUUGUUCGGAAUUACUGGGCGUAAAGGGCGCGUAGGCGGCCUGCUAAGUCGAACGUGAAAUCCCUGGGCUCAACCCAGGAACUGCGUCCGAUACUGGUUGGCUUGAAUCCGGGAGAGGGACGUGGAAUUCCAGGUGUAGCGGUGAAAUGCGUAGAUAUCUGGAGGAACACCGGUGGCGAAGGCGACGUCCUGGACCGGCAUUGACGCUGAGGCGCGAAAGCGUGGGGAGCAAACAGGG
rnacentral:rRNA from 1 species